rnacentral:rRNA from 1 species
UACAGAGGGUGCGAGCGUUAAUCGGAAUUACUGGGCGUAAAGCGUGCGCAGGCGGCUUUGCAAGACAGAUGUGAAAUCCCCGGGCUUAACCUGGGAACUGCAUUUGUGACUGCAUGGCUGGAGUGCGGCAGAGGGGGAUGGAAUUCCGCGUGUAGCAGUGAAAUGCGUAGAGAUGUGGAGGAACACCGAUGGCGAAGGCAGCCCCCUGGGCCGACACUGACGCUCAGGCACGAAAGCGUGGGGAGCAAACAGG